AUAGUAUUCCAUUAGCUAGGUGGUUUGAGUCUUUUGUUGUUGGAUUCGAGCUCUCGUCGGAAUUCCUCUUGUGGUGGAGGAAUAGCUUGCUUCAUCUCAUCCACAAAAGUAGACGCCAGAAACUGAUAUGACGAGUGAACUAGAGAGGAGGGAAGGCGAAUCAUCUUCUUCCUGCCUCCUGUGAAAUUACAUCAAGAAAAAGCUUUCCUAUGUGGCUCUUGACUAUGAACAGGAGAUUGAAACUGCCAGGAGCAGCUCCUCCACUGAAAAGAAAUAUGAAUUGCCUGAAGGACAAGUUAUUACCAUUGGUUCUGAGAGGUUCUGUUGCCCAGAGGCUCUCUUCCAGCCAUCUAUGAUUGGUAUGGAAGCUGCAGGUAUCAAUGAGACUACCUACAACUCCAUUCAUUAGCCUUGUGAAGUAGCUAAAAAAAAAGGAACGUAGAGAAGAAUAUCCAUCUAAUAAAGCUUUCCCAACUGGUGAACGAUCCUUCCCGUGCGGUGAUCAUGGAUAAGACAAUCAGAAGAAGAAAAGAUUACACGAAGAUAGUUAGCUGCAACGUGACUGAGGAUGAAAAUGGAAUCUAUCAUGAAGAAUUCGGGAUGAAGACAUAGACCCAUAGUGUGAGAGCUCCCAGACAACCACACAGGGCAAUGCUUGAUAUAAGGGCUUCAGAUAUACAUUUAUAGGGUGUUUAUCGUAUGAGCAAGGAAAUCAUUGUCUACACUCCUAGCAGCAUGAAGAUUAAGGUUGUUUCUCCACCAGAGAGUAAGAACAGUGUCUAGAUUGGAGGAUCCAUCCUCGCAUCACUUCGCACCUUCCAGCUGGCAAGCCUUUAUUUCUUAUAAUUCUCUUGCAUAACUUUUGCAAUUUUAAACUGCAUUUUGAACUAUGUUGUUUCUAACUUAAACAUGUUAUGUGCUUAAUCAGAUGUGGAUUUCAAAGGGCGAGUACGACAACUCUGGUCCAUCCAUUGUCCACAUGAAGUGUUUCUAAGGUGUUUUGAACUAUAAAUGGCUCAAGAAAUGGCACCUGAAAUUGAGGAAGAUUAUUUUUUAUGAGAGCAGGUUCCUACCGGUAAAAUGUGCUAAAAAUAUGAUAAGUACUUGGCCCGAAGUGAGGACACAAUUUUAUUUUCAAUUGGGAAUGCCUCCCUUAUUGUCAUUUUGUUGAUUGUUUCUGCAUACUGUGAUUGUGCCCUUGUUGGGCAUACUUUUCUUUCUUUGUUAUGGAUUGGUAUGCCCUUGUCGAACUUUCAUAUCGUGGAUGCUUCUGUUGAUAUUGUGUUAGAUUGGUCUAUUUUAGUUUUUGAUUGGUAGUUUGUAGCUUCCUUGUUUUUUGUUUGUUAAUAAGAUUUGGAUUGACGAUGCCUGAUGAUGGAUAGAGAGGGACAACUUUCUUAAGGGUAAAUCAUCAAUUGCUUGUGAGUGUUUGAUUGGCGUUGAUUGUGGCGAAGUCUAAGUAGUCGUCCCCGAAUAGAUGCAUGAGGUUGCCUGAUGAUGAAUUGGUUGACAACUCUUAAGGGCAAAAUCGUCGUCUUUUUGGGAAGGUUUUUACUAGGUUGGUACUAAGAGCAUAGUCAUGCAUGUGAAUAGUGUUGAGCGUACCUCUCCAUUUUUAAAAGGUUGAGCAUGUUGUGAAUGAUUUUGUGACAACUUUUACAACUCUUUUUAUGACUUUUGAUUUGUUAGCGGUUAAAAUGUUCAAUGCUACUUGUAUUUUGAAAAGGAAGUAAGAUUUUGAACCAUCUUGAUUGAUUUGCAGGACAUGUGUGGCGAGUUGUUGAAUAAUGCCUUGUGUUUGCUUUUGUCAUCUAGAACUUGCCCGGUUGGUCUUGAUUGAGUUUUGUUGGAAAAAUGAUCAUAGGCUUUUUUUGAUGUUCUUGAAGUCCACCUGUCCUCAAAAUCCCACCUUUGCAUUAAAUAUAUCCUUAGUUGUCCCUUUUGAGCCUAAUUCUUUUUAUUGACAACCACAUUUCAAGCCUUAUCCUUUUUGAAAAAGUAACCCUCGUUUGAACCCUUCCCUCCUUGAACUUGAGGUGGUGAAAGUGGAGGCUAAAAGCCUAAGUUGGGGGUGUUAUGGGAAAUUCAUUGAAGGGA